CAACAGGGAUUGCCUUAGUAACUGCGAGUGAAGCGGCAAAAGCUCAAAUUUGAAAUCUGGCGUCUUUGGCGUCCGAAUUGUAAUUUGGAGAGGCAACUUCGGAGAUGGUGCUGUCCUAAGUCCCUUGGAACAGGAUGACAUAGAGGGUGAGAUCCCCGUGCCUGGAUGGCUGUCCGUCUCCAUGUGAAUUGCCUUCGAAGAGUCGAGUUGUUUGGGAAUGCAGCUCAAAAUGGGUGGUAAAUUUCAUCUAAAGCUAAAUAUUGGCGAGAGACCGAUAGCGCACAAGUAGAGUGAUCGAAAGAUGAAAAGCACUUUGAAAAGAGAGUUAAAAAGUACGUGAAAUUGUUGAAAGGGAAGCGCUUGAGACCAGACUCGAUUUGUGGCGAUCAGCUGUGCUUCUGUACGGUGCACUCGUCAUGGAUUGGGCCAGCAUCGGUUCUGACGGUGGGAUAAAAGGUUGAGGAAUGUGUCUUCCUUCGGGGAGUGUUAUAGCCUCACUCACAAUGCCACCAGCUGGGACCGAGGACCGCGCUUCGGCUAGGAUGCUGGCGUAAUGGUCUUAAGCGACCCGUCUUGAAACACGGACCAAGGAGUCUAACAUCUAUGCGAGUGUUCGGGUGGAAAACCCUUGCGCGUAAUGAAAGUGAACGGAGGUGGGAACCCGCAAGGGUGCACCAUCGACCGAUCCUGAUGUCUUCGGAAGGAUUUGAGUAAGAGCAUAGCUGUUGGGACCCGAAAGAUGGUGAACUAUGCCUGAAUAGGGUGAAGCCAGAGGAAACUCUGGUGGAGGCUCGCAGCGGUUCUGACGUGCAAAUCGAUCGUCAAAUUUGGGUAUAGGGGCGAAAGACUAAUCGAACCAUCUAGUAGCUGGUUCCUGCCGAAGU
rnacentral:rRNA from 1 species